rnacentral:lncRNA from 1 species
GGGAGCGCCCCGCCAGUCCGCACAGGGCCCCGUCUCCGGGUUUAGCACCAAGCAGGGGAAAUGGAAGACAGAGGCAAUGGGGCGACGUAGCGGUCCCUGUGCUUGUACCCCGUAGUUUUGCCCUCGGACACAAUAGCUCCCCUUGGGACUGAAGGCAGCUGGAAUGUGGGACAGGAGACUGAAGAAGCAAGAGUCCAGGAAGCACCUGCCUAAAAGGAAUUACCUAGAACUUAAGAGCUGAAUGCAGCCAGGGGCAGUACCCACAGGAAAGGAAGCUUUGAUGUCAGCCUAGACUUGGGUUUCUAGCUGAGCUCCUGCAUUCUCAAGGAAGUCAUGUUCGUCAGCUGUCAAUUCAGGCUUUUGGUGACUAAUUUGUGCUCCUUGGAACAAGUACCAGUCAGAACCUGGAGUAAAGGUGAGAGAAGCCUGAAUUCAUUUGAGACACUAAUGGGAAGGGGUAGUCACAGCUCACCUGGCCCUGAGGGUGUGGCAAGGAAUAUCUUGUGCUGUUUCUGCUUAGUCCCAUCUAAGUCCAGGUGCAGCAGGCGUUCUUUUUUUCUUUUUCUUUUCUUUCUUUCUUUCUUUUUUUUUUUUUUUUUUUUCUUUGGAGACGGAGUCUCGCUCUGUCGCCCAGGCUGGAGUGCAGUGGCCGGAUCUCAGCUCACUGCAAGCUCCGCCUCCCGGGUUCACGCCAUUCUCCCGCCUCAGCCUCCCGAGUAGCUGGGACCACAGGCGCCCGCCACUUCGCCCGGCUAAUUUUUUGUAUUUUUUAGUAGAGACGGGGUUUCACCGUGUUAGCCAGCAUGGUCUCGAUCUCCUGACCUCGUGAUCCGCCCAUCUCGGCCUCCCAAAGUGCUGGGAUUACAGGCUUGAGCCACCGUGCCCGGCCUUUUUUUUUUUUUUUUUUUCUUUUUAAGACAGAGUCUUGCUUUGUCAACAUGGCUGGAGUGCAGUGGUGUGCUCUCAAUCUUGGCUCACUGCAACCUCUGUCACCCAGGUUCAAGCAAUUCUCAUGCCUCAGCCUCCUGAGCAGCUGGGAUUAUAGGUGGCCAGCACGCCCCACUAAUUUUUGUAUUUGUAGUAGCUAGGGUUUCACCAUACUGCCCAGGCUGGUUGCAAACUCCUAACCUCAAGUGAUCUGCCCACCUUAGCCUUCCAAAGUGCUGGGAUUCAGGUGUGUGCCAUGAUGCCCAGCUACGUUUUUGUUUUGUUUUUUUCAUUUCUUUUAGAGAUAGAGGGUUUCACUAUGUUGCCCAGGCUGGUCUUGAACUCCUGGCCUCAAGCAAAUCCUCCCUCCCCAGACUCCCAAAGUGCUGGGAUUCAGGUGUGAUCCAUGAUGCCCAGCUACGUUUUAUUUUUCAUUUCUUGUAGAGAUGGAGGGUCUCACUAUGUUGCCCAGACUGGCCUUGAACUCCUGGCCUCAAGCAAAUCUUCCCUCUCAGCCUCCCAAAGUACUGGGAUUACAGGGCUGAAACACCAUGCCCGACCUAGCUUUCUUUUCAAUACCUCCUCCACUCCCACACCGGCUGUCUAGGACCCUCCCUCUGUCUGGGAGGUGAGUAUUUGAGAGUGUAUGCCUGCUCUUUGAAAGGAAGGUUAUCCAUAAAGGGGCUGGCAAGGACUGAACAAGCCUGAGGACGCAGGUGGGCAUCGUCUCUGUGGAGCCAUUGCCAGUCAACAUGCUGGCCGCUGCCCAGGAGAACCUCCCAGGAUGCGGACGUGGCCCUCUGGGCUGAUGACAGCGUGCUUUUGUAGGUGGGGCCGGGCAUCCCCAAAUUUCCCCACACCGUGGUACAUUUUAAUUGUUGGUAUGUGCUAGAGCUUGCUGGGAAAAAAAAUGAAAGAGUUGCAUUUUGGGUGUCAGGAUAUAGUUUUUAAUGGGUGCAUUAGUUCUCUUUUUACCCCAACUCUGCCAACAACAGAGAGGAAUCCAGUGUUCUCACACUCCCCUCCCAGAGUAAAAGUUCAGGAACUCCCAGGGUGUCCAAAUCUGGAUCCUUGCUCACGGUGUCCUGCCUUGUGGUCUCACCAUCUCAGCCACAGGUAGAGAACAACAAGAUCUUUUAUUUAUUUAUUUUUUUAAAUGGAGCCUCGCUCUGUGGCCCAGGCUGGAGUACACUGGCAUGAUCUCGGCUUACUGUAACCUCUGCCUCCUGGUUCAAGUGAUUCUCCUGCCUCAGCCUCCCGAGUAGCUGGGAUUACAGGCGCCUGCCACCAUGCCUGGCUAUUUUUUAUAUUUUUAGUAGAGAUGGGGUUUCGCCAUGUUGGCCAGGCUGGUCUGAACUCCUGACCUCAAGUGAUCCACCUGCCUCGGUCUCCCAAAGUGCUGGGAUUACAGGCGUGAGGCUCUGUGCCCAGCCGAGAACAACAGAAUCUUAACCCUCCAAGUCUGCACUGAGGAUGCAGAGUCAGUGACUUCCAAAAAGUCAUCAAUACGCUUUAAAUCAUUCAUUUACUCAUUCCAUAAACAUGCAUUGAAUACCCCUUAUGUGCCAUAAUAAGGAAAACGGGGAAAAAAGCCUUUGUUUUUGUUCUCAAGGCAACAACAGACGCAAGUGCUGUAGGUGCUAUGGUAG